GAGCCCUGUUAUAAUGGUGGCACAUGCAUUGAAGUUGGUGAAUCUUUUAAUUGUGCAUGUCCCAUUGGUUACAAUGGUAGCAAGUGUGAAGAAUUAGAAUUUAAACCAAUAUUCGUAGCAUGCAGUGGAAAUGGACAGUCACUACUGGACACAUGGAGAACGCCGUCUAUUGGAAGAGAAAUGGCAAACAUCAAUGAAUCAUGUACAUCUGGUCAUCUGAGAAGUUCGAAUAUUGACAACUGGAACGGGUCGAGUAUUGACCAGGUAAAAGUUGAACUAUUUACAAAUGGAAAAUUGGAUUUAGGUAUUUAUUUUGAUGGCAACCUAUCAACAAGUUCCAAUUGGUUUAGUAAAGAACGGAUUAUUUCUAGUACUUUU